ACAUGUGGGUGCGUAAAGAGACACCAGGGAUCCCUUCUCACAGAAGAAAGAUCGUGUGAAGAUACAGUGAGAAGGCGGCCAUGUGCAAAGCCAAGGAGAGAGGCCUCAGGAGCAACCAAUCCUGCGGACACCUUGACCUUAGAUUUAUAGAUUAUGGUAGGAGCACUGAAUGUACCCAUAACCUAACUUCGGCCAUGAGGAUGAAGAGAUUACCUGAGGGAAACAGUGAAGCAAUGACAAAUGGAAGGAAGGUGGAUCCUGGAGUGACUUUAUGCUGUAGAGACUCCCUGCCAAGCUGAACCGCUCACCUUACUUGCUAUUUCAAGGAACAGUCUAUCCAUUGGACCCAGUGAUAAAUAUCAAGAGAAAAAAUUGCAAUCUGAAGAUCCUGUACCUGCCCAAAAUAUCAUAUGCAUCUAAGAGAAAAAAAAUUUGUUGUAAAGUAUCAGAAAUUUACCUUCUGCUUUUCUUUCUGGGGAAUUUACUUGAGAAAUUACUCUAGCAAAAUCAAAAUCAAAGUAAAGUUGUAUCUCAGGGGGACUUGAAGUAUAUAAAAAUAGGAAUGAGUAAUCAACCCGGUACAAGUUAAAAGACCAGAACAGAGGAUCAGAGCAUGAUUUCU